GGGGGUAUAGCUCAGUUGGUUAGAGCAGCGAGCUCAUAACUCGCCGGUCACUGGUUCAAGUCCAGUUGCCCCCA
rnacentral:tRNA from 1 species